CGUGUUAAUGACAGUAACAAUCAGAUUCUUUUGUUGACUUCGGCCACAUGGGUCUGUAAUCUCGAUAGUGACCGUGUAUGUCCCAUAAUUCAAAGUACCUCCGGUAUGGAUUUCACCUGCAACAGUAUUCAGUGUGAAUUCUGGGGCGUUGUUCUUCUGAAUAGUGAUGUAGGGAAUAUCUGCGGCAUUGGGAUCGCUAUAGCUGACAGUAUAUACAUAAGUUCCUAAUGCGACAGUGUCCAGGACUGUUACUGUCUGCGGAAGGUACUCACAGUCGGCCACAGAGAAUUGAAUGCCGUAGUUUCUGCCCGUAAUGUACGGUGUGUUCAAGGUGUAGGUACCCCCUACAGAAAAUCCCGGCACCCCCGACAACUGGAUGUUCUGAUCUACCGUAGUUAUGGAGU